GGCUUUAUAGUCAAUAUAUGAUAUUAGACUGCAAUUCUAAAGUAAGAAUUUUUAUUAAAGCUU
rnacentral:tRNA from 1 species